rnacentral:sRNA from 1 species
ACAAAAUUGGGAUGAAGAUGAAUGGUUUAAUAAUGCUUAGCCCAGGAUCAGGCUCAUUUUUUAAAUGGUUACUGAAUGUAUAGAGCCCCAUAGCCAGAUACCUGUGAGCUGCGAGGAGCUUCCUGAAGAGUCCAGGCUUCUGUCCAGGGCAUUAUCUUGCAAUGUGAGCUCUCCCAUCUUCAAAGCAGGCCACUCGGUUGCUCUGCAGAUGAUGUUUAAUACACUGGUAAACAGCUCCUGGGGGGACUCGGUUGAAUUGCGCGCCAAUGUGACCUGUAACAAUGAGGACUCAGACCUCCUGGAGGACAACUCAGCCACUACCAUCAUCCCCAUCCUGUACCCCAUCAACAUCCUCAUCCAGGACCAAGAAAACUCCACACUCUAUGUCAGUUUCACCCCCAAAGGCCCCAAGAUCCACCAAGUCAAGCACAUGUACCAGGUGAGGAUCCAGCCUUCCAUCCAUGACCACAACAUACCCACCCUGGAGGCUGUGGUUGGGGUGCCACAGCCUCCCAGCCAGGGGCCCAUCACACACCA